AACUCUGAGUGGUGGAUCACUCAGCUUGUGCAUUGAUGAAGAAUGCCACUAGCUGCAAGAACUAAUAUGAAUUGCAGGACACAUUGAUCAUCGACACUUCGAACGCACUUUGUGGCCCCUGGUUACUCCCGAGGCUAUGCCUGUCUGAGGGUCA